rnacentral:rRNA from 1 species
GACGAACGCUGGCGGCGUGCUUAACACAUGCAAGUCGAACGGAAAGGCCCUGCUUUUGUGGGGUGCUCGAGUGGCGAACGGGUGAGUAACACGUGAGUAACCUGCCCUUGACUUUGGGAUAACUUCAGGAAACUGGGGCUAAUACCGGAUAGGAGCUCCUGCUGCAUGGUGGGGGUUGGAAAGUUUCGGCGGUUGGGGAUGGACUCGCGGCUUAUCAGCUUGUUGGUGGGGUAGUGGCUUACCAAGGCUUUGACGGGUAGCCGGCCUGAGAGGGUGACCGGCAAAAGGGGGAGGGUAAUACGGCCGGCAGCAGUGGGGGAGAGAGGAGUGGGGAUUAGCGCAAGAGGGGGGGAACCCGGGUGAAGCACGGCGGCGGGGGGGGUUGGGGCCUUCGGUUGUAAAGCGGUAUACCCCCGCGAGGGAGGGUAGGUGAAGGUAAUGGAAAAAGAAGCACCGGCUAACUCCGUG